rnacentral:lncRNA from 1 species
UGUGGCUAUUUUUGGUCACUACUAGUGUGCAUGGCUGUUGUUGGGUACUACUAGGGCACACGGCUAUUGUUUCUAGCAGUAAGGGACGUGAGACACAAUGGUGUUAGCAGCUAAUGUCGCUGAUGGUUGGGGGAGUUAGGGUAAAUGAUAUGCGACAAUGGAGAGGAAAAGAAAAAGUGUGACCGGCAAUGGUAGGGGUUUUAUAGAGAGAGGCUGAUGGUGGAAUGAAUGAAUGGGAAAGGAAUAAAGAUGGUAGUGUUUAAAGUGUAAGUAGGAGGGUGUUUAACUCAAUCUCUUAAGUAAAAUAAAAAUAAAAUUUUACUACUCCUAAUGCUAUACUAAGUU